CUGUCUUCCUUUGCUACCCGUGACAAGGAGAUGGAGUUGGCUCCUGCAGAUUGGUUCCGAUGUAUACGUCCUUGAGGUCCCCUGGGCAACACACGUCGCAUGACGGAACUUACUGCCACCUUCGCACUGCUUCGCUGAUGGCGCAAUCGAGGGAGACUGCACAUUGCUGCUACUCGUGUAAUUCUGUUGCUUCCCAGAGUCCAUCGCUACCCGUGACGAAGACAUGGAGCUGGCUUCAGCAGACUGGUUCUAAUGCCUACAUUCUUAAGUUCCCCGGGGCCCCAUUUGUCGUAUGACCGAACUUGUUGCCACAUUUGCACUGCUUCGCCGACGGCGACAUCAAAGGAGACUGGACAUGGUCACUACCUUUGCAGACGGCUCCCAGCGUGUUCUGGCGUGUGGCUCGCUACAGAAGAUUGGUCCAGCCCGCUCAUUGACAUCAGCAACAUCCGUGGCAUUUCCUCAAGAGCGACUGUGUCCAACAUGAACGUUCUACCGGGGACUCUGGGUCAUUCAAGUCUUCGUACGUUUCCAUGACUUUGUUGGGGUCCUGCACUGUCUUCGCCGCGUGUGGGUGUCCUCCGCAAAGACUGCAGUCGCCGUCGCUCGACCACCUACCACAUCCUGUGUUGCACUAAUGUUAACAGUUCAGUGCAGCAACCCACCCUAUGUGAAUAGCUUCGCUUCGCUCAGCCAACGGCUGGGGCAUCUAGCAGUUACAACAAUAUGAACCCAAAGAACUGUCAUAAGCAAUGAUUUCUCACUCAUGAGCUUAUUUAUGAAUGUUUGGCAG